GGAUUGCCUUAGUAACGGCGAGUGAAGCGGCAAUAGCUCAAAUUUGAAAUCUGGCGCUUGCGUCCGAGUUGUAAUUUGUAGAGGAUGAUUUUGGUUAGGUACCUUUCGAGUUCCUUGGAACAGGACGCCUUAGAGGGUGAGAGCCCCGUACGAUUGGAUGCCGAGCCUCUGUAAAUCUCCUUCGACGAGUCGAGUAGUUUGGGAAUGCUGCUCUAAAUGGGAGGUAAAUUUCUUCUAAAGCUAAAUACCGGCCAGAGACCGAUAGCGCACAAGUAGAGUGAUCGAAAGAUGAAAAGCACUUUGAAAAGAGGGUUAAAUAGCACGUGAAAUUGUUGAAAGGGAAGGAUUUAUGACCAGACUUUUUCUAGGAGGAUCAUCCGGUGUUCUCACCGGUGCACUUCUUCUAGUUUAGGCCAGCAUCGACUUUCGGCGGCGGAUAAAAGCUUCAGGAAUGUGGCUCCUCUCGGGGAGUGUUAUAGCCUGUUGUAUAAUACGCUGCUGGGGGUCGAGGUACGCGCUUCUGCAAGGAUGCUGGCGUAAUGGUUAUCAAUCACCCUU
rnacentral:rRNA from 1 species